rnacentral:siRNA from 1 species
CGGAAGCUGCGGGUUCGAGCCC